UUAGGAUUCAAUUAACUUGAGAAAAACAUUCACUCUUGCUUAUGUGAAGCUUGGGUAAGGUUGAAAAUAAAUAAUUGGAGCCCGAAAUUAUGAAUACUGGAACUUGAAGGAAGCGGAUUAGUUGAGGUUUUGAGGGCUAUGUUCUUUUAGAAAAAUUGUCUUGGAAUAAUAUUUGGGAAUCGGCUAAGAUGCAGGUCGAGAGGCAUCUUGUUAGGCGUCUGGACUCUUGAAGCGGAGUGGU